rnacentral:ncRNA from 9 species
AUCCUUUUGUAGUUCAUGAGCGUGAUGAUUGGGUGUUCACGCGGCUGUGUGACAUGUGCCACCCACAAACCUUGUUACGACGUGGGCACAUUACCCAUCUGACG